AUUGAACGCUGGCGGAAUGCUUUACACAUGCAAGUCGAGCGGCAGCGCGGGGCAACCUGGCGGCGAGCGGCGAACGGGUGAGUAACACGUGAGUAGCUGUCCUAAGGAGGGGGAUAACGCCUGGAAACGGGUGCUAACACCCCACAUGCCUCGCAAGAGGUGAAAGUGUACUUGCUACAGCCUUAGGGUGUGCUCGCGGCCUAUCAGCUAGUUGGUGAGGUAACGGCUCACCAAGGCCAAGACGGGUAGCCGGCCUGAGAGGGUGUACGGCCACACUGGAAUUGAGAUACGGUCCAGACUCCUACGGGAGGCAGCAGUGGGGAAUCUUGGGCAAUGGGCGAAAGCCUGACCCAGCGACGCCGCGUUGGGGAUGAAGCCCUUCGGGGCGUAAACCCAUGUUGUAGGGGACGAAGAAAGUGACGGUACCCUACGAGAAAGCCCCGGCCAACUACGUG
rnacentral:rRNA from 1 species